rnacentral:rRNA from 1 species
UGAGUAACCUGCCCUUAACUCUGGGAUAAGCCUGGGAAACUGGGUCUAAUACCGGAUAUGACUCCUCAUCGCAUGGGUGGGGGGUGGAAAGCUUUAUUGUGGUUUUGGAUGGACUCGCGGCCUAUCAGCUUGUUGGUGAGGUAAUGGCUCACCAAGGCGACGACGGGUAGCCGGCUGAGAGGGUGACCGGCCACACUGGGACUGAGACAUGGCCCAGACUCCUACGGGAGCAG